rnacentral:rRNA from 1 species
GGACAAUGGGGGAAACCCUGAUCCAGCCAUCCCGCGUGUGCGAAGAAGGCCUUCGGGUUGUAAAGCACUUUUGGCAGGAAAGAAACGCCAUGGGUUAAUACCCCGUGAAACUGACGGUACCUGCAGAAUAAGCACCGGCUAACUACGUGCCAGCAGCCG